rnacentral:rRNA from 1 species
UACGGAGGGUGCUAGCGUUGUUCGGAAUUACUGGGCGUAAAGGGCUCGUAGGCGGCCAACUAAGUCAUACGUGAAAUCCCUCAGCUUAACUGGGGAACUGCGUGUGAUACUGGAUGGCUUGGAUUUGGGAGAGGGAUGCGGAAUUCCAGGUGUAGCGGUGAAAUGCGUAGAUAUCUGGAGGAACACCGGUGGCGAAGGCGGCAUCCUGGACCAAUAUUGACGCUGAGGAGCGAAAGCCAGGGGAGCAAACGGG